UGUUUAUAAAAUAAUAUGCGA
ensembl:piRNA 21ur-11531 ncRNA